UACCUUCCAAUGUCAUUGCUGGUACCAUCACAAGAGAUGGUGACCUUCUCUCCAAGAGAACCAGAGGCUGAGGGAGGCUGAGUCAGAGCAGACUGCGCCCAGGUCCCUGGAAAGAGAGAAGCUCAAAUUGUUACCUUGAACAUAUGCAUAGGAAGAAAAGGAGCACAACAGAACAAGGUCCAGUUCUUUGGAGUAGAGAAAGCAAGAAGAGAACACCAGGAACCUGGAAGAACCAGAGAAAUUGUGGAGAGGGAUUAGAUUGGGAACGCAACCUUCCUCCCUGAAUACUUACACACUUACGAAUUCACCUCUGAACUUCACACACAUGGUUCUGAUGCUGAAGAAGACAGGAAACCUGAAAACACAAUUAAGGAACAGAACAAAACCUAGUUUCCAUGUGGUGUCCAUGAAAGACAAAUACAAAUAGUAUUGCAAAGGAUUUUUAGAGUGAACUGACCUAAAAGUCAGCAUUCACUCACAGAAGCUCAAUCCACAGAUCCAAGAAGUUGAAAAGUCAGCAUGGGAACGUGGAGGAAGCCACACACUGUCUAUAAAAUGUAACAUCCUUCCUUUGAUGAAAACUCUG